AGUGUUGUGGCUCAGUGGUAGAGCACUCACCUAGCAUGUGUGAGGCCCUGGGUUCAAUCCUCAGCACCACAU
rnacentral:tRNA from 1 species